rnacentral:misc_RNA from 1 species
GAAAUGCGAUAAGUAAUGUGAAUUGCAGAAUUCCGUGAAUCAUCGAAUCUUUGAACGCACAUUGCGCCCGCCAGUAUUCUGGCGGGCAUGCCUGUUCGAGCGUCAUUUCAACCAUCAAGCCCCCGGGCUUGUGUUGGGGACCUGCGGCUGCCGCAGGCCCCGAAAACCAGUGGCGGGCUCGCUGUCACACCGGGCGUAGUAGAUUUUUCGUCUCGCCCAGGGCGUGCUGCGGGUUCCGGCCGUUAAAAAGCCUCUCUUUUAACCCAAGGUUGACCUCGGAUCAGGUAGGAAGACCCGCUGAACUUAAGA